ACAGUUUCUCUUUGCCAGACUAGACUAAAGAAGGAGCACUAAUUUAUUCUGAUAAAACAGGUCUAUGCAGCUACCAGGACAAUGGAAUCUACGUUGACUUUAGCAACGGAACAACCUGUUAAGAAGAACACUCUUAAGAAAUAUAAAAUAGCUUGCAUUACAGGGUCUCUCUCCUUUGGGAUCUCACCUCACCACAACCUCUGUUUCCCAGGCUCAAGUGAUCCUCCUGCCUCAGCCUCCUGAGUAGCUUGGACCACAGGCACAUGCCACAAGGCUCAGCUAAGUUUUUGUUCUUCUUGCUUUGCUGGUGAUCAUGUCACUUGGAUUAGGCCUGGGGCUUGGACUCAGGAAACUGGAAAAGCAAGGCAGCUGCAGGAAGAAGUGCUUUGAUGCAUCAUUUAGAGGACUGGAGAACUGCCGGUGUGAUGUGGCAUGUAAAGACCGAGGUGAUUGCUGCUGGGAUUUUGAAGACACCUGUGUGGAAUCAACUCGAAUAUGGAUGUGCAAUAAAUUUCGUUGUGGAGAGACCAGAUUAGAGGCCAGCCUUUGCUCUUGUUCAGAUGACUGUUUGCAGAGGAAAGAUUGCUGUGCUGACUAU
rnacentral:lncRNA from 10 species